rnacentral:tRNA from 1 species
GCCUGAGUAGCUCAGUUGGUAGAGCAGCGGUUUUGUAAACCGCCGGUCGUCGGUUCGAGUCCGACCUCAGGCUCCA